AAAAAAAAAAAAAAAAAAUUCAUUCCCUCCAUCCGCCCAAGAUUCCUCUACUCAUACAUGUACUAUAAAGAAAUUCAGAAAGCAAGAAACUGAAUUUGCAAAAGUAACCUCAGUGAAUUUUAAAAGAAACUUUUAGUUCAAUCCUUUGUAUUGGAUUUGGAUCUAAUUUCAAUGACUGUAGCAGACAACAUAAAUAACCAGCAGUGAAGGAUAGCCUCAAGUUAAAAGAUAAAAAAUAGUAAUUACACCUGGACCAAUCCAAAUAACCAGGUAAGAUAUGUUCAUCAUAAAUAAAAGAAAGAACCAUACAAUGCAAAUUCACCAUUCAACAAAUAAUAAAAUAAGAAAAAACUUACUGUAAUGUAUCAACGAACCGGCCA
rnacentral:misc_RNA from 1 species